GGGAUCUUCAGACUGAGAAGGCCACCACGUUGCAGCUCUGGUCUCAGUGCGUAUUCCUGCCAGUUUAGGAGCUAGGUCUUCCAUGAGACCUGAGAUUCCACAUUUCCAACAGACUCCUUGGUGAUGGAUCCCCCAUAGACCAGAUGCUGCUGUUCUGAGGACCACACUGACAGUCUCUGUGACAUGGAGCACUUUGAAGAAAAUGUCCACGUAAUCUUGUUUUUUAUGCUUUCAAUGACUGCACAGCAUAACAAGAACUGGAAGUGAAGGUGAAUGGUAUCAUAGCCCACGUGGACACAAUAUAAUGGAAUUAUGGAUGCAGCUGACAAUAGAAACACACAAACAUCAAAAAGUAAAACAAAUGUUUGGCUUAGGUAACAAUUUGCAUCCCUGAGGAGAGGUUUGAAGCAUCUUAUUUUGACUUUCAAGGGAUGAAAUCAACGACUAAAACACUUGUAUGGCAAGUGAGUCUGUUUUAUAUUUUGUGUUGCUGCCUGCUGAUUCUUCACAGUUUUCUCUUGUUUAACAAUUUAUUGUAGCAUGGGCCCAUUCUAGCUCAUUUUUAAAUUAUUCCCUCAGGCUUUUAUAAUAGACUAUGAAACCCUGUUUGCGUGAACACAAACGACACUUUGCUUCCAAUAUGUUUAAGCACUUCCCAUAUAAGGAGAAAAAAGUUUGCCCUGAGAUAAUUACUAAUAUGGUCAUCAGAUCUGGUGGUGAUCUCUCAAGUAAUAAAACCUUGA